CAGCAUAGAGUAGCAAUACUUUGAUGGCGACCGGCGCACGGGUGAGUAACACGUAUGCAACCUACCUACAUCAGGGGAAUAACCCGGAGAAAUUCGGACUAAUACCGCANNNNNCAGGGAUGCCGCAUGGCAAUAUUUGUUAAAGAUUUAUCGGAUGUAGAUGGGCAUGCGUUCCAUUAGCUAGUUGGUAAGGUAACGGCUUACCAAGGCAACGAUGGAUAGGGGAACUGAGAGGUUUGUCCCCCACACUGGAACUGAGACACGGACCAGACUCCUACGGGAGGCAGCAGUGAGGAAUAUUGGUCAAUGGACGAGAGUCUGAACCAGCCAAAUCGCGUGAAGGAAGACUGCCCUACGGGUCGUAAACUUCUUUUGUACAGGAAUAAAAGACAUUACGUGUAAUGUAUUGCAUGUACUGUACGAAUAAGCAUCGGCUAACUCCGUGCCAGCAGCCGCGGUAAUACGGAGGAUGCGAGCGUUAUCCGGAUUUAUUGGGUUUAAAGGGCGCGCAGGCGGGAUUUUAAGUCAGCGGUGAAAUUUUCAGGCUCAACCUGAACACUGCCGUUGAAACUGGGAUUCUUGAGUAUGGAUGAAGUAGGCGGAAUCCGUUGUGUAGCGGUGACAUGCUUAGAUAUAACGAGGAACUCCGAUUGCGUAGGCAGCUUACUAAGCCAUAACUGACGCUCAAGCACGAAAGCGUGGGGAUCAAACAGGAUUAGAUACCCUGGUAGUCCACGCCGUANACGAUGAUUACUAGUUGUUUGCGAUAUACCGUAAGUGACUAAGCGAAAGCGAUAAGUAAUCCACCUGGGGAGUACGCCGGCNACGGUGAAACUCAAAGGAAUUNNNGGGGGCCCGCACAAGCGGAGGAACAUGUGGUUUAAUUCGAUGAUACGCGAGAACCUUACCCGGGC
rnacentral:rRNA from 1 species